GGAGGCCGCAUCUUAUUGGCAGGAAGAGUCCACAACCUUCACAGAUGGCGCCUUUACUCAUGAACCUACUGGGUCUCAAGAGGUCUAGCUUUUUUACCGCGAGACUAUGCGAGAGUUUAGCAUUAACGUUUGUUUAGUCAGCAGAAAUAACAUGGACAAAAGGAAAUACAUGCUCUUUUGAGAUGCUUGGAUCUCAGCAAAUGCAAGUUUUGGUGAUUUUUUUUCCAGCUAACGUAGUUUUUGACUUAAAAGUUCGCCGUUAUUUUAUUAUUUUAAGUUUGGUUCGUCUUUCGUCCUGUAAAGCACCUACACCGUGCAGCGUGCACGUUGUGAUCCCUCACCGCUCCACUGUGGAGGAAUAGAGAUACAGAAGGGAGCAGAGCUGGAUACUGCUCAGCUGCAGUGAUAAAGCAGCUGGUGUGCUGCCACGGAACAACCUGCUGCUUAGUGCUCAGGACACAAGAUGGUGCCCAGUCACAUACAUGGCAACGCUGGAAGCUGGUAGCUGUUCAACCUCAGCGUUAGCAGGAUUCACAGACUGACAAUUUCCCACGAAUGCAAGAGUAACGAGCAAAGACUGACAAAUGAUUGUGGUUAUAACAGUGCUUAUUUAAUAAUAAUAUUGAGUUAAAAUCUAGUCAGCUGUUUAAAAUACUGAAAUAUAUAGAUUUUUACUAUGAUAAGCAAACAGUAUUAUGUAACCACAAAGAAAACAAUUAUUAACAAAGUAACAGUAACAUCAGAAAUUAUUAGUUAUUUUGCAAUAAGUAUUUUUUUUUUAUUAUUAGUUUGAUAGUUUCCUAUUGUAAUCAGAUAUGCUUUGUAAGUACUGGAUUGUAGUGUGUUAUAAUGUAGUCUAUACUGUCCACAGACUCCAUAUUCUUGCAGCAGUCUCCCUUGUAGUCUAUGCACAAUAAAAUCCCAAUUUUAUUUAUUAACAUAAGAUUUAUUUUAUUAACAUAAAUAUCUUGAUGUUAUAUUUGAAGCUAUAACAAACAUUUACAAUCCUAUUAUUAUAAUAAAUGUUGAAUCAAAAUAAUAUUUAUGUUAAUAAUGAUUUGCAACUCUUAAGUUGAACAAAUGUUUACAUGUAAAUAUAAAAACCCUAAUGUUGUGUGCUAUUUAUAACUGGCAAGAUAAUAAAUGUAAUGUAAAGUAGCAACAUGAAUUUACUACCACCUGACAAUUGGUUGAAUAAAUAAAUACUUUCCAUGCU